AACGAACGCUGGCGGCGCGCCUAACACAUGCAAGUCGAACGAGAAGGCGUAGCAAUACGCUUGUAGAGUGGCGAACGGGUGAGUAAUACGUGGGUGACCUACCCUCGAGUGGGGAAUAACCCGCCGAAAGGCGGGCUAAUGCCGCGUACGCUUCCGUCCUCACGGGGACGGAAGGAAAGCUGUACCGUGGGUACGGCGCUCAAGGAUGGGCUCACGUCCUAUCAGCUUGUUGGUAGGGGUAACGGCCACCAAGGCUACGACGGGUAGGCUGGCCUGAGAGGACGAUCAGCCACACUGGCACUGCGACACGGGCCGAGACUCCUACGGGAGGCAGCAGUGAGGAAUAUUGCGCAAUGGGCGAAAG
rnacentral:rRNA from 1 species